CAUGCAAGUCGAACGAAGUAGCAAUACUUAGUGGCAGACGGGUGAGUAACAUGUAGGUAUCUACCCUUUGGCCUGGAAUAACACGAGGAAACUUGUGCUAAUACCGGAUAAGUCUUUACAGAGAAAGCUUUAUGCACCGAUGGAUGAGCCUGCACUUGAUUAGUUUGUUGGUGGGGUAAUGGCCUACCAAGACUGUGAUCAAUAGCUGAUUUGAGAGGAUGAUCAGCCACAUUGGGACUGAGACACGGCCCAAACUCCUACGGGAGGCAGCAGUGGGGAAUCUUGCACAAUGGAGGAAACUCUGAUGCAGCGAUGCCGCGUGAGUGAAGAAGGCCCUUGGGUUGUAAAGCUCUUUCGUCGGGGAAGAAAAUGACUGUACCCGAAUAAGAAGGUCCGGCUAACUUCGUGCCAGCAGCCGCGGUAAUACGAAGGGACCUAGCGUAGUUCGGAAUUACUGGGCUUAAAGAGUUCGUAGGUGGUUGAAAAAGUUGGUGGUGAAAUCCCAGAGCUUAACUCUGGAACUGCCAUCAAAACUUUUCAGCUAGAGUAUGAUAGAGGAAAGCAGAAUUUCUAGUGUAGAGGUGAAAUUCGUAGAUAUUAGAAAGAAUACCAAUUGCGAAGGCAGCUUUCUGGAUCAUUACUGACACUGAGGAACGAAAGCAUGGGUAGCGAAGAGGAUUAGAUACCCUCGUAGUCCAUGCCGUAAACGAUGUGUGUUAGACGUUGGAAACUUGUUUUCAGUGUCGCAGCGAAAGCGAUAAACACACCGCCUGGGGAGUACGACCGCAAGGUUAAAACUCAAAUGAAUUGACGGGGACCCGCACAAGUAGUGGAGCAUGUGGUUUAAUUCGAAGAUACGCGCAGAACCCUUACCAACACUUGACAUGUUCGUCGCGACUUUAAGAGAUUA
rnacentral:rRNA from 1 species